rnacentral:rRNA from 1 species
AGCGAACGCUGGCGGCAGGCCUAAAACAUGCAAGUCGAACGCCCGUAGCAAUACGGGAGUGGCAGACGGGUGAGUAACACGUGGGAACGUGCCUUUUGGUUCGGAACAACACAGGGAAACUUGUGCUAAUACCGGAUAAGCCCUUACGGGGAAAGAUUUAUCGCCAAGAGAUCGGCCCGCGUCUGAUUAGCUAGUUGGUGAGGUAACGGCUCACCAAGGCUACGAUCAGUAGCUGGUCGAGAGGAUGAUCAGCCACACUGGGACUGAGACACGGCCCAGACUCCUACGGGAGGCAGCAGUUAGGAAUCUUGGACAAUGGGCGCAAGCCUGAUCCAGCCAUGCCGCGUGAGGGAUGACGGCC